UUAAGUCCCGCAACGAGCGCAACCCUUGUCCUUAGUUGCUAACGAGUCAAGUCGAGAACCCUAAGGAAACUGUCGGUGAUAAACCGGAGGAAGGUGGGGAUGACGUCAAGUCCUCAUGGCCUUUAUGUCCAGGGCUACACACGUGCUACAAUGGGCGGUACAAAGGGUCGCAAACCCGCGAGGGGGAGCCAAUCCCAUAAAACCGUUCUCAGUUCGGAUUGCAGUCUGCAACUCGACUGCAUGAAGCUGGAAUCGCUAGUAAUCGCGGAUCAGCAUGCCGCGGUGAAUACGUUCCCGGGCCUUGUACACACCGCCCGUCACAUCAUGAAAGCUGGUUGUACUAGA
rnacentral:rRNA from 1 species